rnacentral:rRNA from 1 species
GCACAGGCUGUGAACUCGAAGAGUAGGGCGGGACACGUGGUAUCCUGUCUGAAUAUGGGGGGACCAUCCUCCAAGGCUAAAUACUCCUGACUGACCGAUAGUGAACCAGUACCGUGAGGGAAAGGCGAAAAGAACCCCGGCGAGGGGAGUGAAAAAGAACCUGAAACCGUGUACGUACAAGCAGUGGGAGCACCUUUAUGGUGUGACUGCGUACCUUUUGUAUAAUGGGUCAGCGACUUAUAUUCUGUAGCAAGGUUAACCGUAUAGGGGAGCCGCAGGGAAACCGAGUCUUAACUGGGCGUUAAGUUGCAGGGUAUAGACCCGAAACCCGGUGAUCUAGCCAUGGGCAGGUUGAAGGUUGGGUAACACUAACUGGAGGACCGAACCGACUAAUGUUGAAAAAUUAGCGGAUGACUUGUGGCUGGGGGUGAAAGGCCAAUCAAACCGGGAGAUAGCUGGUUCUCCCCGAAAGCUAUUUAGGUAGCGCCUCGUGAACUCAUCUUCGGGGGUAGAGCACUGUUUCGGCUAGGGGGUCAUCCCGACUUACCAACCCGAUGCAAACUACGAAUACCGAAGAAUGUUAUCACGGGAGACACACGGCGGGUGCUAACGUCCGUCGUGAAGAGGGAAACAACCCAGACCGCCAGCUAAGGUCCCAAAGUCAUGGUUAAGUGGGAAACGAUGUGGGAAGGCACAGACAGCCAGGAUGUUGGCUUAGAAGCAGCCAUCAUUUAAAGAAAGCGUAAUAGCUCACUGGUCGAGUCGGCCUGCGCGGAAGAUGUAACGGGGCUAAACCAUGCACCGAAGCUGCGGCAGCGACACUAUGUGUUGUUGGGUAGGGGAGCGUUCUGUAAGCCUGCGAAGGUGGCCUGUGAGGGUUGCUGGAGGUAUCAGAAGUGCGAAUGCUGACAUAAGUAACGAUAAAGCGGGUGAAAAGCCCGCUCGCCGGAAGACCAAGGGUUCCUGUCCAACGUUAAUCGGGGCAGGGUGAGUCGACCCCUAAGGCGAGGCCGAAAGGCGUAGUCGAUGGGAAACAGGUUAAUAUUCCUGUACUUGGUGUUACUGCGAAGGGGGGACGGAGAAGGCUAUGUUAGCCGGGCGACGGUUGUCCCGGUUUAAGCAUGUAGGCUGGUUAUCCAGGCAAAUCCGGAUAAUCAAGGCUGAGGUGUGAUGACGAGGCACUACGGUGCUGAAGUAACAAAUGCCCUGCUUCCAGGAAAAGCCUCUAAGCAUCAGGUAACAUCAAAUCGUACCCCAAACCGACACAGGUGGUCAGGUAGAGAAUACCAAGGCGCUUGAGAGAACUCGGGUGAAGGAACUAGGCAAAAUGGUGCCGUAACUUCGGGAGAAGGCACGCUGGUGUGUAGGUGAAGUCCCUGCGGAUGGAGCUGAGACCAGUCGAAGAUACCAGCUGGCUGCAACUGUUUAUUAAAAACACAGCACUGUGCAAACACGAAAGUGGACGUAUACGGUGUGACGCCUGCCCGGUGCCGGAAGGUUAAUUGAUGGGGUUAUCCGUAAGGAGAAGCUCUUGAUCGAAGCCCCGGUAAACGGCGGCCGUAACUAUAACGGUCCUAAGGUAGCGAAAUUCCUUGUCGGGUAAGUUCCGACCUGCACGAAUGGCGUAAUGAUGGCCAGGCUGUCUCCACCCGAGACUCAGUGAAAUUGAACUCGCUGUGAAGAUGCAGUGUACCCGCGGCAAGACGGAAAGACCCCGUGAACCUUUACUAUAGCUUGACACUGAACAUUGAGCCUUGAUGUGUAGGAUAGGUGGGAGGCUUUGAAGCGUGGACGCCAGUCUGCGUGGAGCCAACCUUGAAAUACCACCCUUUAAUGUUUGAUGUUCUAACGUUGGCCCCUUAUCGGGGUUGCGGACAGUGUCUGGUGGGUAGUUUGACUGGGGCGGUCUCCUCCCAAAGCGUAACGGAGGAGCACGAAGGUUAGCUAAUCCUGGUCGGACAUCAGGAGGUUAGUGCAAUGGCAUAAGCUAGCUUGACUGCGAGCGUGACGGCGCGAGCAGGUGCGAAAGCAGGUCAUAGUGAUCCGGUGGUUCUGAAUGGAAGGGCCAUCGCUCAACGGAUAAAAGGUACUCCGGGGAUAACAGGCUGAUACCGCCCAAGAGUUCAUAUCGACGGCGGUGUUUGGCACCUCGAUGUCGGCUCAUCACAUCCUGGGGCUGAAGUAGGUCCCAAGGGUAUGGCUGUUCGCCAUUUAAAGUGGUACGCGAGCUGGGUUUAGAACGUCGUGAGACAGUUCGGUCCCUAUCUGCCGUGGGCGCUGGAGAAUUGAGGGGGGCUGCUCCUAGUACGAGAGGACCGGAGUGGACGCAUCACUGGUGUUCGGGUUGUCAUGCCAAUGGCACUGCCCGGUAGCUAAAUGCGGAAGAGAUAAGUGCUGAAAGCAUCUAAGCACGAAACUUGCCCCGAGAUGAGUUCUCCCUGAGACUUUAAGUCUCCUGAAGGAACGUUGAAGACGACGACGUUGAUAGGCCGGGUGUGUAAGCGCAGCGAUGCGUUGAGCUAACCGGUACUAAUGAACCGUGAGGCUUAACCUU